UCUCGAUUGGUCUAGUGGUAAGGAUACCUGCUUGUCAUUCAAUGAUCAUGAUUCAUGGAGAAAGCCGCAGGUGGCCGGGGUUCGAUUCCCCGAUCGAGAG